rnacentral:lncRNA from 1 species
AAAAAAUAAAAAAUAAAACAAAAUAACAAAAUAACAAAAUAAAAUAUAAAAAAGUAGAGAAAAAAAAGGUUAGUAUAAAUGUCCCAGAGAGAGAGAGAGUUUAUCCCAUUAAUUUUUGAAGAAAUACAACCCACGGAUGACAUGUGGCGUAGAGGAAAAAGUCAAAAUUACAACACAACAUACUCUUCUUCUUAUUCUUCACAUGUUUAUUAUUACAGUAACAACACAAACUUUUCUUCAUCAUUUUUUCUUUAAAACCAAGCAUUUCU